GUACAAUGUACAUGAUGUAUGAAUAUUACUGAAACAUACAUGAUGAUCAUCUGAUGAGUUGAGCCUUUUCAACUAAUUUUUAGGGUUGAAAACCAAUGUGCACAUCUACAUGUAAACAGACACUGACAAUUUUUCUAAAUACUGUUUCAGUGUUUGUUUUAUAUAAUUUUCAGUGGCAUUUCCAAAAAAUUUCAGGAAAAGAGGAAAGGGGGGGGGGGGCACCGACUGCCCAAGAGGGGCUGUUCAAGUCAUGCUUCAGUGAUUCCCUAUAUUUUUCCAAGCAUAAGGAAAUAAGGAAUGGCCCGGCUACCUGAAAAACCCUCCAACUCCGCCUCUGCUUUUGACAAGCUUUAAAUGCAUGAUAUUUUCUAUGUUUUAAAUCAUAUUAAUGUGAAAGUUGAGGUCUAUUUCUGUAUAUAUACAUGUAUUAUU
rnacentral:lncRNA from 1 species